AGUCACUGACAUUAGAUACCCCCUGUAGUCCAGGGUGUAAACGCUGCAGACUUGGUGUUGGGGGCCCUUUGGGGGCAUUCAGUGCCGGAGAGAAGUUGUUAAGUCUGCUACUUGGGGAGUACGUCCGCAAGGAUGAAACUUAAAGGAAUUGGCGGGGGAGCACCGCAACGGGAGGAGCGUGCGGUUUAAUUGGAUUCAACACCGUAAACUCACCAGGGAAGACUGUUACAUGAAGGCCGAGAUGAAGACUCUGCUAGAUUUUCAG
rnacentral:rRNA from 1 species